rnacentral:rRNA from 1 species
UACGUAGGGUGCAAGCGUUGUCCGGAAUUAUUGGGCGUAAAGAGCUCGUAGGCGGUCUGUCGCGUCUGCUGUGAAAACUCGGGGCUUAACCCCGGGCCUGCAGUGGGUACGGGCAGACUAGAGUGCGGUAGGGGAGACUGGAAUUCCUGGUGUAGCGGUGAAAUGCGCAGAUAUCAGGAGGAACACCGGUGGCGAAAGCGGCUUACUGGAUCUCUUCUGACGCUGAGGCACGAAAGCUAGGGUAGCGAACGGG